UAGUCUGCCAUACGCAGGAAGACCCGCUGAACUGAAGCAUCUCAUUAAGCGGAGGAAAAGAAACUAACUAGGAUUCCCUUAGUAAAGGCGAUCGAAAAGGGAACAGCCCAACGUCUUAAUCCCGCAAGGGAAAUGUAGUCGGUUCACCUAUUGCACUGGUCUAAGUCAGAUGGAAUGCUGCGCGAUUCAGAGUAAAAGCCUCGUAUGACCAACCGCAAGCUUACGAUGGACCGGGGAGAGUCGGAUACUUUGAGAGUAGUGUCUUAAGGGGGUGGUAUGUCCCAUCCAAGGCUAAAUAACGUGAGGAGACCGAUAGAUUACAAGUAGUGUGAACGAAAGAUGAAAAGAACUCUAAAACAGAGGGUGAAAAGUUCCUGAACUUGCUUAGGGUUAAGGCUAUUUAUAGUACCCGUCUUGAAACACGGAUUAGGGAGUUUAUCUGUAGUGCGAGUCUUUGCACGUUAACUGUAAAGGCGUAGAGAAAGCAACUGGCGUUUGCAUGGCUACUGAGCAUUACUGAUAGGACCCGAAAGGUGGUGAACUUUGCCUGCACAGGUUGAAGUCAGGGGAAACUCUGAUGGAGGACCGUACGGGUUAUUGAUGUGCAAAUCAUUUUUCUGAUGUAGGUAAAGGUGCGAAAGA
rnacentral:ncRNA from 1 species